rnacentral:rRNA from 1 species
UUUUUGAAUAUAAUAAAAAGUCUGACCUGCCCACUGAAAUAAUUUUGAAGGGCCGCGGUAUUUUGACUGUGCAAAGGUAGCAUAAUCAUUUGUCUUUUAAUUGAAGGCUGGAAUGAAUGGUUAAAUGAAGUAUUAACUGUCUCAUUUUAAAAAGUAUAAAAAUUUAAUUUUUUAGUUAAAAAGCUAAAAUUUAUUUAGAGGACGAGAAGACCCUAUAAAUCUUUAUUUAUUUUAUUAAAUUAAAUUUUAGAUAAAAAUUAUUUAUUAUAAUAAAAUAAAUUUUAUUGGGGUGAUAGGAAAAUUUAAUAAACUUUUUUUAUUUUAUCUAUUGAUUUAUAAAUAUUUGGUCCAUUAUUAAUGAUUAUAAGAUUAAGAUACUUUAGGGAUAACAGCGUAAUUUUUUUAGAGAGUUCUUAUCGAUAAAAAAGAUUGCGACCUCGAUGUUGAAUUAAAGAUUAAUUUUAAAUGCAGAAGUUUAAUAAUUAGGUCUGUUCGACCUUUAAAUCUUU